rnacentral:misc_RNA from 1 species
GAUGAAGAACGUAGCAAAAUGCGAUACUUGGUGUGAAUUGCAGAAUCCCGUGAACCAUCGAGUUUUUGAACGCAAGUUGCGCCCGAAGCCUUUUGGCCGAGGGCACGUCUGCCUGGGCGUCACGCAUCGCGUCCCCCCCCCACAAUUCUCCGUAAAGGGAACAUGUGUUUUGGGGGCGGAUAUUGGUCUCCCGUGCUCAUGGCGUGGUUGGCCGAAAUAGGAGUCCUUUCGAUGGACGCACGAACUAGUGGUGGUCGUAAAAACCCUCGUCUUUUGUUUCGUGCUGUUGCUCGCAAGGUAAACUCUUUAAAAACCCCAAUGCGUCGUCUCUUGACGACGCUUCGACCGCGACCCCAGGUCAGGCGGGACUACCCGCUGAGUUUAAGCAUAUCAAUAAGCGGAGGA